UCGAUCUGAUUAAUACAUAAUUUGAUUUUUAAAGGCGCCAACAGUUGCCCGUCAAGGAUCAACAGCUGGUUGCCUGAGUUUCAUCCUGCUGUACCGCGAAUAUUGCGAGUCAAGGUGCACACGGAAAAGCUAUUGACUGGUCGCCUUCUCUCGUCAUCGCAUCGAAACGCCGCGGCCCCUGGGAUCCAUGGAAAUGCGCGACGAGAGUCACGACUCACGAGUUUGGGACGCGGAGUGGAGCGGAGGAACAAAACGCGAAGAAUUUCGUUAUCCUAGGUCUACCGCGAGCGCGAUACGGUUCGAUUCAGUUACGAUUGGUACAGAAACGCGAUUGGUCGGUCAUCUGAAUCCGCGCGCGGCGGCAAGUGAAUGAGGGGUUGCGUGUCGGUGGCCACGAAUACGUUGUGAAUGUGUGUUUAUGUUAUUGGUCCGUUUCAGCAGAUGAAGCAAGAUUGAGUUGUUGAUCAACGUUUCUGUUUGGGAUUUCUCGCGCCAGGGAAAGAUGAAUGAAAAGUGCAAAACUUUCCGGUUACGAAAGGUUGUAGAGAAAAGAAGUGUUUACAAAUCUCGAUGAGGCACACUAAAUUAAAACAAGCGACCGGGAAGGAGUGCGAAGCAAGUGAUAACGAUAAGAAGUGCUCCGAUUAGUGUAGGACCCAAGUGUCCUCAACAAGGAUGAACGACUCAUCAUCAGCGUCAGUGGAGUCGUUGUUAGCCCUGGCGGGUGCCGGUGGAGAUUUCGCCGGUUCCGGUAGUGGCGAUGGCUUUCCACCAAUGAUUUUGAACGAAACUUUGCGGGAUCUGUGCCACCAACAGAACGACACCCUGUUUCUGGAGCUGUCCUGUCCUCCAUUGUUCGAUUCGAUCUCGUGCUGGCCAAGGACACCGCCGGCAACAACGGCAGUUUUGCCGUGUUUCUCCGAGUUCAAGGGAGUGCAGUACGAUGCGACACAGAACGCCACCCGCUACUGCAACAUCGACGGAACGUGGAACAGCUUCGCGAACUACGAUGCCUGCAAGCACCUGGAACUGCCAUCGUCCGAUCCGACGCUCGAAUCGUUCAUCGAAUUACCGAUAGUGAUUUAUUUUGUAGGGUAUACCAUAAGCUUACUGGCGCUUUUUUGCGCCGUUACCGUUCUAGUUUACUUUAAGGAGCUACGAUGCCUCAGGAAUACUAUUCACGUCAAUCUCUUCGUCACCUACAUCAUGUCGUCCAGCCUGUGGAUCAUCAUACUCUCUCAACAGUUGGCUGCCAAGCAGGGUCUGGUGGAUUGCAUCUUCCUGGUGACGCUAUUCCACUACUUUAGUACGACCAACUUCUUCUGGAUGCUGGUGGAAGGUCUCUAUCUCUACAUGCUGGUGGUUCAAACGUUCUCCGGCGAUUAUCUACGCUUUUGGAAGUAUUCCAUCAUCGGCUGGGGAGGUCCUUUAAUCUUUGUCGGAGCGUGGGCCAUUGCCAAGUCCUUUUAUCCGUAUGACCUGAUGCCGGAGCAUCCGAACAAGCUGGAAAUCGAAUGCUCGUGGAUGCGGGAAUCUCACAUCGACUGGAUUAUUCAGGGCCCAUCCUGUGCCGUGCUAGUAAUCAAUCUCAUCUUCCUGCUGCGAAUCAUGUGGGUUCUCAUCACCAAGCUCCGAUCGGCCAAUACGGUCGAAACGAGGCAAUACCGGAAGGCAUCCAAGGCACUGCUGGUACUUAUUCCGCUGCUAGGCAUCACCUAUCUGGUGGUCAUCUACGGGCCUCACGAGGGCGUUGGCAGUCGGAUCUUUGCGGUCACCAGAGCGGUCCUGUUGAGCACACAGGGCUUGGUAGUAUCGUUACUCUACUGCUUCCUCAACUAUGAGGUGCGAGGAACUCUACGGUUACACUACUACCGUUGGCGAGAUGAGCGCAACAUUCGACUGGGCAUCAUUUCCAAACAUCGAAGACCGACCAUCAGUGGAACUGAAAGUAUACGUAUUACCACUACGACAACCACAACAACAACCACAUCGGUGCCGUUGAUUUAAGUUUGAUUGCAUCAACCCGAACGGACUGAUGACCGAGCAGAGGCGAGCAGAAUGGAAAUUGAGACGGAAAAAUAUAAAAAUGUCGACACAAACAACCACCCACUACUGGUUCCAGUUUUUUUUUUGUUACAACCGACGCGAGGCAACGUUCGAACGAGUUUUCCUCAGAUUUUUUUUUCCUAAACGAUCUCUACGUGAUGACAAAUUCAAUGACGAUGGUAUUGAUCGUCGUCGGAUGUUGUGACUAAUUAAGUGUCACCCUGGAGUAUAGUGUCGUGAUAAUGAAAAGCUUGGCACCACCCUCCUCAAGGCACCACCACCACCACAACCAUCACAACAACCUUGGCGGUAGCAACUGAACUUCCGUACAUAAAAUUCAGCUUCCGGUCAAAUUUGUACUAUGGACCUCCGGACAAGUUUGGAACCAACACUGUCCAGGGAGUUGCAAACGAAACAACUUUGCGGAGAGAAUUGUUAGUUAGACGACACGGCGAGCAGGGCGGUGGCAACUGCUACAAUUAAAUUGAAUUUCAAAACAAACAUCAUCGUCUCACGAAUGGGAACUUUUAAUUCAAUACUCCGACGACGACGACGACAAUGAUCUUUUGUGUGCAGGACAAUGGCGAGCGAUUGCAUUUGGAACGGUGUGAAGUAUUUACCGAAGUAGAAGUCAAUACAAUUUGCAACAGACAGACAGACAGGCAGUCAGUAGGACGACAUAGAAUCUCAUCUCGAGCCAAGUGGGACAUGUUUGCACUUCAUUUGGCGGUUGAUUUCAGUUAGCGAAGGAUUUCGCUCGGAAGGUUGGGAUUAAAACGAAAUUUGCGGACGGGCUGCGGUGGGAGAUGUAAAUAUUUACAAAUUCGAUUGAAAUUUCUAGGCGAGUCGUUCGUGUGUUUGGAUCGGAUUUCACUGUCAGCAUGUGUGGAGUUGGAUGUAUGAUAAGGAAAGUCAGAAUAUGGCAGGCAGCUUCAACGUAACUGAUGUACAAUGUAUUUAGGUUAGGUUUAUGUAGUUUAAUUAUCCAAACGGGUUUAAAGAGAGACCAAACCAAAGCUUACACAUGUUAGUAUAGAUUAAAUUGUCAUUUUUGUAUAUAUUUGAAACAUUGAAACAUGCAGAUAUAAGAUUAAAAGAACAUUGAUGUAAA